UUGGUGCCUUCGGGAACUCUGAGACAGGUGCUGCAUGGCUGUCGUCAGCUCGUGUUGUGAAAUGUUGGGUUAAGUCCCGCAACGAGCGCAACCCUUAUCCUUUGUUGCCAGCGGUUCGGCCGGGAACUCAAAGGAGACUGCCAGUGAUAAACUGGAGGAAGGUGGGGAUGACGUCAAGUCAUCAUGGCCCUUACGAGUAGGGCUACACACGUGCUACAAUGGCGCAUACAAAGAGAAGCGACCUCGCGAGAGCAAGCGGACCUCAUAAAGUGCGUCGUAGUCCGGAUUGGAGUCUGCAACUCGACUCCAUGAAGUCGGAAUCGCUAGUAAUCGUGGAUCAGAAUGCCACGGUGAAUACGUUCCCGGGCCUUGUACACACCGCCCGUCACACCAUGGGAGUGGGUUGCAAAAGAAGUAGGUAGCUUAACCUUCGGGAGGGCGCUUACCACUUUGUGAUUCAUGACUGGGGUGAAGUCGUAACAAGGUAACCGUAGGGGAACCUGCGGUUGGAUCACCUCCUUA
rnacentral:rRNA from 2 species